UACGGGGGGGGCAAGCGUUGUUCGGAAUUACUGGGCGUAAAGGGCUCGUAGGCGGCCAACUAAGUCAUACGUGAAAUCCCUCGGCUUAACCGGGGAACUGCGUCUGAUACUGGAUGGCUUGAGUUCGGGAGAGGGAUGCGGAAUUCCUGGUGUAGCGGUGAAAUGCGCAGAUAUCAGGAGGAACACCGGUGGCGAAGGCGGGUCUCUGGGCAACUACUGACGCUGAGGAGCGAAAGCGUGGGGAGCGAACAGG
rnacentral:rRNA from 1 species